CACAGCCAUUUCUCUCUAUGGCUUUAGUAUGAACCAACCUUCAUUGACAUUCCCACAAGGUCCGUCUUAUUUCAUUUACGUAUAGUCUAAUUGGUCCAAAUGUCAAACUUUAUUAUACAUUAGACAAGAUAACCGUAAAGACAAGGAGUUACCAGAAGAAAAAUAUUAAUCGCGCUGGACCUCAGGGUCCAAACUUUCAAAUUGAAGUUAGCAGUACAGUACACUACAGUAGUCAUCAGGAAGCUGAAGAAGUUCAAGUAAACUUGACCUUGGAAGUCUUCGUUUUUCGUUUAUUUAUGUAGGCUAGUUUAAAGUACUUAAAAUAAUAAUUAUGAAGUUAAUUAGGCUACAUAUUUUCUUACUACAAGUAGUCUAAUUGUCUGCCUCGGAUCAAACAUAGACAAUUACUAGUACAGCUAAUACACGGAGAGAACAUUUUAGUCUACCAACUGGAACAAAGUUCUUGACAGGUGACUGUUUCUAUGGAAACAGACAGACACAAAAAAGUAAUGGCGGUCCUACACUGGAGUUGUCAAGAUGUAGCUGAAUGGAUAGAAUCUCUGGGAUAUCCACAUUAUACAGCAUGUUUCUCUCAGAACCUCAUUACAGGUAGAAAGCUGAUUUAUGUAAAUUGCUCAUAUCUGCCAAGAUUAGGAAUCACAGACUUUGAGGAUAUGAAGGUCAUCUCGUCUCAUGUCCGGGAGCUGCUGGGGGUCACGGAGCCACUGUGGAGCCGCAGCAUAGCGGACCUCCCCCGGGACAACAUGGGCUUGUUCCUCGAGAAGAAGAGCCGGACUGGAGACUGGGCAGACUCCCUCACUUACUCACAGUUUCUCAAAGACAUAAAACAGUGAAACGGCACGUUGCAUGCUUGACACGAUCAAUUAAAGAGACAUUGUGAUUAAAAUUG